UACAGAGGUCCCGAGCGUUGUUCGGAUUCACUGGGCGUAAAGGGCUCGUAGGCGGCCAACUAAGUCAGACGUGAAAUCCCUCGGCUUAACCGGGGAACUGCGUCUGAUACUGGAUGGCUUGAGGUUGGGAGAGGGAUGCGGAAUUCCAGGUGUAGCGGUGAAAUGCGUAGAUAUCUGGAGGAACACCGGUGGCGAAGGCGGCAUCCUGGACCAAUUCUGACGCUGAGGAGCGAAAGCCAGGGGAGCAAAGCGGGGAUUAAGAAACCCGUAGUAC
rnacentral:rRNA from 1 species